AUCGCUUCUCGGCCUUUUGGCUAAGAUCGAGUGUAGUAUCUGUUCUUAUUAUUAUUGCUAAAUGGUUUUUCCUUUCUUUACAGAGACUGAUCAAGCCUCUUAUGAGAGUGAGAUGAUCCAUUGUUUUCCAUUCAGGUAUGGUACAAACCUGAU
rnacentral:snRNA from 1 species